UUCCACCGCCGGAUCCGACAAGAUCUGUUUCGUGCCGAGCUUCCACCGCCGGAUCUGGCCCACCCCGCCCCACCAUGGGCAUGGCUACUGCACGGCCUCGACCCCGCGUCCCUGCGGCCGCGGCCGUAGCUCCGCCAUGCGACAGUUGGCCUCCACGGCCCGUGCCCCGCGCUGCCCCGACCGCGGCCCCAGCUCCGCCCCCUCCGCAAUGUCGAGCGCGUCAGCGUGCAGCUUGGCGGCGCGUGGACGUGCAGUGCGGGGGCGCCGGCAAAAUGAUGACGAGGAUGGUGUGUGCCUACUGGUUUGUGGGCUCGUUGGUUUUGCAACUCAAUUUUGCUUGUCAAUGCAGCCCAUUUUUGCUUGUCCGAGCAGUCCAUAAUGCUCCUGGGCAACCAAUUGACAUCCUUUCUCAUCCAUAUUGUGUGUGUGCAGUUCUGUAAUCAUGGUCGUGUAGCCCAUCGCCGCUAGGGUGUGUGGUUUGGUCAGUGUGGGCGUGCGGUUCAGUGCCCUCCAAUGUGUGGGUGUUCGACAACAAAAUGUUCACAGAAUGCCAUUUGAUUUUCCAGAUUUACAAAGAUGUUGUAAGAUUUUUUUUUGAAAAACUGUAGUUAAUUGUAAAAAAAACACUAAAUGUCAUUUGAUGCAGUUCGGAUAGGGACGCUACACUGCAGUCUGUCUA